rnacentral:rRNA from 1 species
GACGAACGCUGGCGGCGUGCUUAACACAUGCAAGUCGAGCGGUAAGGCCCUUUCGGGGGUACACGAGCGGCGAACGGGUGAGUAACACGUGGGUGACCUGCCCUCAGCUCUGGGAUAAGCCUGGGAAACUGGGUCUAAUACUGGAUAUGACUCCACGGUGCAUGUCGUGGGGUGGAAAGCCUUGUGCGGCUGAGGAUGGGCCCGCGGCCUAUCAGCUUGUUGGUGGGGUGANGGCCUACCAAGGCGACGACGGGUAGCCGGCCUGAGAGGGCGACCGGCCACACUGGGACUGAGACACGGCCCAGACUCCUACGGGAGGCAGCAGUGGGGAAUCUUGCGCAAUGGGCGAAAGCCUGGCGCAGCGACGCCGCGUGAGGGAUGACGGCCU